UACCUUCUGCCUCACUCACGUGAGCCCCCCCCGUUUUCUGCUUCCUCGCCGCCGUUCGUGGGUUCCGCUGGCCAGAUCCCGCCGGUCAGACAUGCUUUCAGUCUGCCCAGAUACGAGCCGCCGCACGUCCGCCGCUCUCAGUCCACCUAGAUUCAAGCCGCCGCACGUCCGCCGCUUUCAGUUCAUCUAGAUUCGAGCCGCCACACGUCCGCCGUACUCUGCCGCCCAGAUCCGAGCCGAGUCUCUCCUCCGCUACCCACCGCAUCACUUCCGGCUGCUUCCAGUGCCGCCAGCCCUGUUCGUCGCCAGGACCUGCCUACACCACUAGACUUUUGCUUUGAAUCCAAGAUUGGAGUACUUCGGAGUGCACAGCGUGCUGUUUAGCGGAUUCGAGUUCAUUCGACAAGUAUUUUUGUUUCUUGAAGGUUCCAAGUCGUCGUCCUUUGGGUUCUAAAAUCUGCUAAGAGGAAAUUUUGAGUCGAAAUCUCGCGAGUGUUGGUUGAUCAAGUUUCGUUGGGGGACUUAGUUCAGGGGUUUUUGGUUGGAGAUCAUUAGCUUGGAUUAAAAAUUGGAAUUGGAUUUUGAGGUAAGGGUAGAGAUGCACCGGCAAUGGCGCAGCAGAAUUCAUGAUUGAGCCACUGGGACUAGUUUUUUUUACGCUUUCGCAUCAUGAGAUUUAGAGUUCUUUUCAUGUUUCCCUUAA